rnacentral:rRNA from 1 species
CGCGGCCUAUCAGCUUGUUGGUGGGGUGAUGGCCUACCAAGGCGACGACGGGUAGCCGGCCUGAGAGGGUGUCCGGCCACACUGGGACUGAGAUACGGCCCAGACUCCUACGGGAGGCAGCAGUGGGGAAUAUUGCACAAUGGGCGCAAGCCUGAUGCAGCGACGCCGCGUGGGGGAUGACGGCCUUCGGGUUGUAAACCUCUUUCAGCACCGACGAAGCGCAAGUGACGGUAGAUGCAGAAGAAGCACCGGCCAACUACGUGCCAGCAGCCGCGGUAAUACGUAGGGUGCGAGCGUUGUCCGGAAUUACUGGGCGUAAAGAGCUCGUAGGUGGUUUGUCGCGUUGUUCGUGAAAACUCACAGCUCAACUGUGGGCGUGCGGGCGAUACGGGCAGACUGGAGUACUGCAGGGGAGACUGGAAUUCCUGGUGUAGCGGUGGAAUGCGCAGAUAUCAGGAGGAACACCGGUGGCGAAGGCGGGUCUCUGGGCAGUAACUGACGCUGAGGAGCGAAAGCGUGGGGAGCGAACAGGAUUAGAUACCCUGGUAGUCCACGCCGUAAACGGUGGGUGCUAGGUGUGGGUUUCCUUCCUUGGGAUCCGUGCCGUAGCUAACGCAUUAAGUACCCCGCCUGGGGA